GACGAACCGUGCGAACGUUGUUCGGAAUCACUGGGCUUAAAGGGCGCGUAGGCGGGCCUCCCAGUCCGGGGUGAAAGCUUUCGGCUUAACCGGAGAAGUGCCUUGGAUACUGGAGGUCUGGAGGGAGGUAGGGGCAGUCGGAACUUCCGGUGGAGCGGUGAAAUGCGUUGAUAUCGGAAGGAACGCCGGUGGCGAAAGCGGACUGCUGGACCUUUUCUGACGCUGAGGCGCGAAAGCCAGGGGAGCGAACGGG
rnacentral:rRNA from 1 species